UAAGCGUGCGCAGGCGGUUUUGUAAGUUUGUCGUGAAAGCCCCGGGCUCAACCUGGGAAUUGCGAUGAAGACUGCAAGGCUUGAAUCUGGCAGAGGGGGGUAGAAUUCCACGUGUAGCAGUGAAAUGCGUAGAGAUGUGGAGGAACACCGAUGGCGAAGGCAGCCCCCUGGGUCAAGAUUGACGCUCAUGCACGAAAGCGUGGGGAGCAAACAGGAUUAGAUACCCUGGU
rnacentral:rRNA from 1 species